rnacentral:rRNA from 1 species
AGAGUUUGAUCCUGGCUCAGGAUGAACGCUAGCGGCAGGCCUAACACAUGCAAGUCGAGGGGCAGCAUAUCGCUUCGGUGAUGAUGGCGACCGGCGCACGGGUGAGUAUCGCGUUUGUAACCUACCCUUAAUUGGGGGAUAGCCCGAAGAAAUUCGGAUUAAUACCCCAUAAUAUUUAAGCACGGCAUCGUGCUUUCAUUAAAGCUCCGGCGGUUAAGGAUGGGCAUGCGUGACAUUAGUUUGUUGGUAAGGUAACGGCUUACCAAGACUACGAUGUCUAGGGGGUCUGAGAGGAUGAUCCCCCACACUGGUACUGAGACACGGACCAGACUCCUACGGGAGGCAGCAGUGAGGAAUAUUGGUCAAUGGACGAAAGUCUGAACCAGCCAUGCCGCGUGCAGGAUGACAGCUCUAUGAGUUGUAAACUGCUUUUAUAUAGGAAGAAAUCCUUCUACGUGUAGAGGGUUGACGGUACUAUAAGAAUAAGCAUCGGCUAACUCCGUGCCAGCAGCCGCGGUAAUACGGAGGAUGCAAGCGUUAUCCGGAUUUAUUGGGUUUAAAGGGUGCGUAGGCGGGGCAAUUAGUCAGUGGUGAAAUACUGCGGCUUAACCGUAGAAUUGCCAUUGAUACUGUUGCCCUUGAGUAUAGUUGAAGUGGGCGGAAUAUGUAAUGUAGCGGUGAAAUGCAUAGAGAUUACAUAGAACACCAAUUGCGAAGGCAGCUCACUAAGCUAUCACUGACGCUGAGGCACGAAAGCGUGGGGAGCGAACAGGAUUAGAUACCCUGGUAGUCCACGCCGUAAACGAUGAUCACUCGUUGUUGGCAAUACAUCGUCAGCGACUGAGCGAAAGCAUUAAGUGAUCCACCUGGGGAGUACGGUCGCAAGAUUGAAACUCAAAGGAAUUGACGGGGGCCCGCACAAGCGGAGGAACAUGUGGUUUAAUUCGAUGAUACGCGAGGAACCUUACCUGGGCUUAAAUGCAAAACGACGUACCGGGAAACUGGUACUCCCUUCGGGGCGGAUUGCAAGGUGCUGCAUGGCUGUCGUCAGCUCGUGCCGUGAGGUGUCGGGUUAAGUCCCAUAACGAGCGCAACCCCUAUCGUUAGUUGCCAGCGGAUAAUGCCGGGGACUCUAACGAAACUGCCAGUGUACACUGUGAGGAAGGUGGGGAUGACGUCAAGUCAGCACGGCCCUUAUGUCCAGGGCUACACAC